UAGUACUCCCUAAGCUGGAUUCUUCUAUCCCCAAAACUUCACUGAACAGAGUAUUCGGAUCCCUUGGCUGAAACCUUGCAACCUCAUCUAGGGAAACAAUGAAGCCCAGAGCUUGUCAGAUAUUGGGGGUGGGGAUAUUACAGAAACCCCCCCUUAGGAUGAGACUCUCACAUUGCUCUUCCGGGAAACAUUAAAAGAAGAGAUUUGUCCAUGAGGUUCUCCAAAUUGAUUUAUUUCUUUUGUGUUCCUGGGCCUGAUGCAGUCCGUGGCUUGCAGGUUAUUCUGUGUUGUCUCUUCCUUGUCCACUCUCCAUCUUUCUCUCUCCUGCUCUCUGCCCAGGGGUUUCCCUGUGUCAACCGCUGCCCUGCCCUGUGAUGUCCAGUGGGUCUGGCCAAUGGGAAUCCCCAGUAGGAGACAGGAGUGAGGUCAGAAUACGAAGUCCCUGGCUCCUCCUUGUGAGGUCACCUUGGGCUGGCAGUGUCCUUUCAUUGAAUCUGACUGCUCUCCUCCCAGAAACCCUCUCUACACAGCUCUCUCUCCAUGCAUGUUCUGGCAUCUUCUUCCUCUCCCAUUUUUUAGGCCAGCAGUGGUUCUACCAUUGCUGCAGCAGGCCCCAGUACCCAGUACUGCCUCCUUUGUAAUUCAUCUCUUUCUAAAUAAACCUUCCUUGAAUUAUUCUAA